UACGUAGGGUGCGAGCGUUGUCCGGAUUUAUUGGGCGUAAAGAGCUCGUAGGCGGUUUGUCGCGUCGGCCGUGAAAUCUCCACGCUUAACGUGGAGCGUGCGGUCGAUACUGCCGGACUAGAGUCCGGAAGAGGCGAGUGGAAUUCCCGGUGUAGCGGUGAAAUGCGCAGAUAUCGGGAGGAACACCAAUGGCGAAGGCAGCUCGCUGGGACGGUACUGACGCGAUGAGACGGCGAAAGCGUGGGGAGCAAACAGG
rnacentral:rRNA from 1 species